GACGAACGCUGGCGGCGUGCCUAAUACAUGCAAGUAGAACGCUGAAGGAGGAGCUUGCUCCUCUGGAUGAGUUGCGAACGGGUGAGUAACGCGUAGGUAACCUGCCUGGUAGCGGGGGAUAACUAUUGGAAACGAUAGCUAAUACCGCAUAAGAGUAGAUGUUGCAUGACAUUUGCUUAAAAGGUGCAAUUGCAUCACUACCAGAUGGACCUGCGUUGUAUUAGCUAGUUGGUGGGGUAACGGCUCACCAAGGCGACGAUACAUAGCCGACCUGAGAGGGUGAUCGGCCACACUGGGACUGAGACACGGCCCAGACUCCUACGGGAGGCAGCAGUAGGGAAUCUUCGGCAAUGGACGGAAGUCUGACCGAGCAACGCCGCGUGAGUGAAGAAGGUUUUCGGAUCGUAAAGCUCUGUUGUAAGAGAAGAACGAGUGUGAGAGUGGAAAGUUCACACUGUGACGGUAUCUUACCAGAAAGGGACGGCUAACUACGUGCCAGCAGCCGCGGUAAUACGUAGGUCCCGAGCGUUGUCCGGAUUUAUUGGGCGUAAAGCGAGCGCAGGCGGUUAGAUAAGUCUGAAGUUAAAGGCUGUGGCUUAACCAUAGUACGCUUUGGAAACUGUUUAACUUGAGUGCAAGAGGGGAGAGUGGAAUUCCAUGUGUAGCGGUGAAAUGCGUAGAUAUAUGGAGGAACACCGGUGGCGAAAGCGGCUCUCUGGCUUGUAACUGACGCUGAGGCUCGAAAGCGUGGGGAGCAAACAGG
rnacentral:rRNA from 1 species